UCCGACCGGAGCGAGCUCGAUGAGUUAAGAAGAGAAGACGCACGGGCACGGGCGCACCACACGCGCUCCCAAAUCCUCUCCCGUGCUCCCUCCCGUCAAAACCCUCUCCGGCGGCGGCGGCGGCGCUUCCUCUCCGGCGAGGCCUGCCUCUGCGUCCCUACAAGUGCUCCCAGGGAACAUGGACGGGGCUUCUGCUGCCGAGCACGAGAUGAGCGAGAUCCCAGCUGGCAUCGCCUCUGACGAGCAAGCCAAUCCUGCUACCGAUGCGCAGGAAGAACCGGAGAUGCCAUCCGACGAGGAACUCAAAGGCCAGACCAACGAAGAGUCUGGGGACCUGACUGAGGAGGCGCAGGCAGAUGUGAACGAUGGGAAUACAGAGGACCAGGCUUCACUCGAAGAGGCAGCAAACGUUGUUGCUGAGGCCGAGCAGCUGGCCGAUGUGGAGAUGGAGGAGAAGAAGUGGCCGGGGUGGCCUGGGGAGAGCGUGUUCCGCGUGCUGGUUCCUGCACAGAAGGUGGGCGCUGUCAUUGGCCGCAAGGGGGAGUUUAUCAAGAGGAUGUGUGAGGAGUCCAGAGCUCGCAUCAAGAUCCUUGAUGGCCCGCCAGGUGUUCCGGAAAGGACUGUAAUGAUUUCGGCAAAGGAUGAACCGGAUGCACUGGUUCCUCCAGCUGUUGAUGGUUUGCUGAGAGUACAUAAUAGAAUAACAGAUGGUUUAGAUGGUGAAUCUGAGCAGCCUCAGCGAGGUGCUGGUCCUGUAGGGCCAACACGGCUACUUGUGCCAGCUUCCCAAGCUGGCAGCCUGAUUGGCAAACAAGGGGCAACCAUUAAAUCCAUACAGGAUGCUUCAAAAUGUGCUCUCCGCAUUCUUGAGAAUGUGCCACCUGUGGCAUUAAAUGAUGACAGAGUUGUCGAGAUACAAGGUGAACCCAAUGAUGUUCACAAAGCAGUGGAACUGAUUGCAAACCAUUUGAGAAAAUUUCUUGUUGACCGUAGUGUUCUCCCUCUGUUUGAAAUGCAGAUGAAAGUGCACAAUGUGCCCAGAGAGCAACCUAUGCCUGCGCCUCAGCAGUGGGGUCCUCCUCCACCCUGGAGUCAUCCACCAAACAUUCCGCCCAGCGGCCCUCCUGGUUAUGGCGGGAAUCAACAUUUUAUGCCUCCAAGACCACAAGAUAACUAUUAUCCUCCUCCUGAUGCACACCCUGUGGAAAAGCAACCACACUACGGGAUUUCUUCAUAUGGACGUGAUGCACAUCCAACUGGCGCUCCUCCCUCAGGAAAUCAACACCUACCACAUGGGUCUUCUCAAAUUGCCCAAAAGAUGCAAGUUCCUCUUUCCUAUGUUGAUGCUGUGAUUGGGUCUGCUGGUGCCAAUAUUAGCUACAUCCGCAAGCAUAGUGGUGCAACAGUAAGUAUUCAAGAAGGUGUUCCUGGAGAGAUGACGGUUGAGAUUGUAGGGAGCGCUUCACAAGUUCAGACUGCUCAGCAGCUGAUCAAGAAUUUCAUGGCUGAAGCUUCUCCGCAAGUUCCUCCACCUGGUCCUGCUCCCUCCCAACCACUUGACUCGAGCUACAACUCAUACCCGCAGUAUGGAGGACCGUCGUAUGGAUCCCCUCCAGGCAGUGCAGGUCCUGCCCCUCACAAUGGAGGAAGCUAUGGCGCGCACUACCCGCCAAACUAUGGUUACUAGUUAUGGCAUCAAAAACACUAGGGUUUAGUGACGUACUUGGUUUUGUUGUUCCGCCUGUUAAUCUGUUGAGAACGUGAGAGAUUAUUAGGUUUUCCGAUCUUCUGGUGGUGUAAACUCUGCUCUGGUGACAGUGACAACUGUUCUCUGAUACAUUGUUUACUUGCAUUUCAGCAUGGUGUAAACUUAGUCAUUAACCUACGUCGU